UCACUCAUCACCCUGUGACAUACCUAAACGUUGCUUCGGCGGGAACAGACGGCCCCGUGAAACGGGCCGCCCCCGCCAGAGGACCCCUAACUCUGUUUCUAUAAUGUUUCUUCUGAGUAAAACAAGCAAAUAAAUUAAAACUUUCAACAACGGAUCUCUUGGCUCUGGCAUCGAUGAAGAACGCAGCGAAAUGCGAUAAGUAAUGUGAAUUGCAGAAUUCAGUGAAUCAUCGAAUCUUUGAACGCACAUUGCGCCCGCCAGUAUUCUGGCGGGCAUGCCUGUUCGAGCGUCAUUACAACCCUCAGGCCCCCGGGCCUGGCGUUGGGGAUCGGCGGAGCCCCCCGUGGGCACACGCCGUCCCCCAAAUACAGUGGCGGUCCCGCCGCAGCUUCCAUCGCGUAGUAGCUAACACCUCGCGACUGGAGAGCGGCGCGGCCACGCCGUAAAACACCCAACUCUUCUGAAGUUGACCUCGAAUCAGGUAGGAAUACCCGCUGAACUUAAGCAUAUCAAUAAGCGGAGGAA
rnacentral:rRNA from 1 species